AACGCCCCGCAAGGGGAGUGGCAGACGGGUGAGUAACGCGUGGGAACAUACCCUUUCCUGCGGAAUAGCUCCGGGAAACUGGAAUUAAUACCGCAUACGCCCUACGGGGGAAAGAUUUAUCGGGGAAGGAUUGGCCCGCGUUGGAUUAGCUAGUUGGUGGGGUAAAGGCCUACCAAGGCGACGAUCCAUAGCUGGUCUGAGAGGAUGAUCAGCCACAUUGGGACUGAGACACGGCCCAAACUCCUACGGGAGGCAGCAGUGGGGAAUAUUGGACAAUGGGCGCAAGCCUGAUCCAGCCAUGCCGCGUGAGUGAUGAAGGCCUUAGGGUUGUAAAGCUCUUUCACCGAUGAAGAUAAUGACGGUAGUCGGAGAAGAAGCCCCGGCUAACUUCGUGCCAGCAGCCGCGGUAAUACGAAGGGGGCUAGCGUUGUUCGGAAUUACUGGGCGUAAAGCGCACGUAGGCGGAUAUUUAAGUCAGGGGUGAAAUCCCGCAGCUCAACUGCGGAACUGCCUUUGAUACUGGGUAUCUUGAGUAUGGAAGAGGUAAGUGGAAUUCCGAGUGUAGAGGUGAAAUUCGUAGAUAUUCGGAGGAACACCAGUGGCG
rnacentral:rRNA from 1 species